GGGUUGUGAGGUUAAGCGACUAAGCGUACACGGUGGAUGCCCUGGCAGUCAGAGGCGAUGAAGGGCGUGCUAAUCUGCGAUAAGCGCCGGUAAGGUGAUAUGAACCGUUAUAACCGGCGAUACCCGAAUGGGGAAACCCAGUGUGACUCGUCACACUAUCAUUAACUGAAUCCAUAGGUUAAUGAGGCGAACCGGGGGAACUGAAACAUCUAAGUACCCCGAGGAAAAGAAAUCAACCGAGAUUCCCCCAGUAGCGGCGAGCGAACGGGGAGGAGCCCAGAGCCUGAAUCAGCAUGUGUGUUAGUGGAAGCGUCUGGAAAGGCGCGCGAUACAGGGUGACAGCCCCGUACACAAAAGCGCAUGUGCUGUGAGCUCGAUGAGUAGGGCGGGACACGUGGUAUCCUGUCUGAAUAUGGGGGGACCAUCCUCCAAGGCUAAAUACUCCUGACUGACCGAUAGUGAACCAGUACCGUGAGGGAAAGGCGAAAAGAACCCCGGCGAGGGGAGUGAAAAAGAACCUGAAACCGUGUACGUACAAGCAGUGGGAGCACCCUUCGGGGUGUGACUGCGUACCUUUUGUAUAAUGGGUCAGCGACUUAUAUUCUGUAGCAAGGUUAACCGAAUAGGGGAGCCGGAGGGAAACCGAGUCUUAAUUGGGCGUUAAGUUGCAGGGUAUAGACCCGAAACCCGGUGAUCUAGCCAUGGGCAGGUUGAAGGUUGGGUAACACUAACUGGAGGACCGAACCGACUAAUGUUGAAAAAUUAGCGGAUGACCUGUGGCUGGGGGUGAAAGGCCAAUCAAACCGGGAGAUAGCUGGUUCUCCCCGAAAGCUAUUUAGGUAGCGCCUCGUGAAUUCAUCUCCGGGGGUAGAGCACUGUUUCGGCUAGGGGGCCAUCCCGGCUUACCAACCCGAUGCAAACUGCGAAUACCGGAGAAUG
rnacentral:rRNA from 1 species